GGGUGACACAUCUCUCCCGAUGAAUCGCUAAUUGUCUUCCCGCCCGCAGUAAACAUCCCGCUCCCAUUGUCUGCGCUCAAGAGAGUUUCUGCCGCAAAAUACGGUCCUGCGCGGCGCAGAGACCUCGCCGUGCGCCGCCCCUGCCCCUGCCCCGGCCCUGGCCUCUGCCCUGGCCCCGGUGUCCUGGCCCCUUCGAUCGCACAGAUCCCCCUCUCCCGUCCCUCAGGUCCCGCCUGCCUCUGGUGCCCCCGUGCUGGAGUCCCGGUCCCUUCCCCGCACCUGGCGGCGCGGCAGGCCCGGCCCGACAGCCCCCAGCUCUGCCCUCUCCGCCUCCCCCGCGGCCGCUCCUGCGGGCCGGUCGCGCUCCCCUCCCGCCGCCGUAAGGACCCCUUCGCCUGGAGUACUCCCGGCCCCAGCCUGUUCCGCCGGGCUCCUGGAGAGCAGCCCCGUCCGCGGAGCAAGGGGGUGGGGAUGAGGGGAUCGCGGCCCUCCCGUCGUCUCUCCCAUUCUGGCACAACACCCUUCGUCAGCUCCUCCGAAAUGUUUCUUUUGGCCGGAACAAAAGAAUCAAGAUACUCCUCGGUCUCAUGCUACAUCCUAGCGUUACAUCUCGAGAAGGAAGAGAAAAGUUCGAAGAACUGAAGAUGACAGGUUGGAAAAUGCAGGCAGGAAACAAGCCACAUCAUCUCUCCAAAAUAAAAAUCUUCUUACCAAAAUAGAGUACCAAAUAAACCAUAUAUCUGUAGGUAAUCAA